rnacentral:rRNA from 1 species
GAUGAACGCUGGCGGCGUGCCUAAUACAUGCAAGUCGAGCGAACAGAUGAGGAGCUUGCUCCUCUGACGUUAGCGGCGGACGGGUGAGUAACACGUGGAUAACCUACCUAUAAGACUGGGAUAACUUCGGGAAACCGGAGCUAAUACCGGAUAAUAUAUUGAACCGCAUGGUUCAAUAGUGAAAGACGGUUUUGCUGUCACUUAUAGAUGGAUCCGCGCCGCAUUAGCUAGUUGGUAAGGUAACGGCUUACCAAGGCAACGAUGCGUAGCCGACCUGAGAGGGUGAUCGGCCACACUGGAACUGAGACACGGUCCAGACUCCUACGGGAGGCAGCAGUAGGGAAUCUUCCGCAAUGGACGAAAGCUUGACGGAGCAACGCCGCGUGAGUGAUGAAGGUCUUCGGAUCGUAAAACUCUGUUAUUAGGGAAGAACAAAUGUGUAAGUAACUAUGCACGUCUUGACGGUACCUAAUCAGAAAGCCACGGCUAACUACGUG